CGUGCGUUCUGUAAAUGCUGCAGGUCAAGUUCCAUAACCCCUUCCCUCACUAGCUAGCCCCACACCUGGUCACGCAGUUAGUUAAAGUCUUCAGAAGAGUCCCCGAAGAAAGACACAGCAAGCUGUGUGAGUGUAUGAUUCAGGUCAGUUGCUGUGACAGCACAAGAAGCAGGACUCGGUCAGCAGAAGUGACACUAUCCCCCAGUUUGACAACUGGAGAAGAGGAGAAUCAGAUGUUAAGAGGAGGGCCUGUGCUCAUACGACAAGGUUCUCCAGCCAAAUAACCCACCUUAUCACCAAGACCAUAUAUGGCCUGCUUAUUCCUGAGAAAUGGGUUGUCGUUCCCAGGCAGUCCACACAAUUAUCUGGAUAGAUCCAUCUCAUUCUCCCACGUGGACAAGGACUCCAAACCUAUGGCUACUAUUAAUCCACAGAAAAAUAACACUAGAAGAGAGAUGAAGGGCCACCUGCACUACAGUUACGUGUGUGUCAGAUUCACGCCAGGCUUCACCAGGUAU